AGAGAUAUAGCAUAUUCUUCUGAAUAUACUUUAUUAACCCAUUCCGAGUACCUUACCCGUUGCUUCCGCGAGGCUGUCCUCACGGCCCUCUGAAGAUUUAUCUUUGGGGAGUCCUUGCAGAAGGUAUACAAUAAACUCUUACAUUACCAUGUCAUCUGUCUGAAUCUGUCUAAAACAAAUAUUA
rnacentral:misc_RNA from 1 species